GUGCCAGCCGCCGCGGUAAUACCGGCAGCCCGAGUGAUGGCCGAUCUUAUUGGGCCUAAAGCGUCCGUAUCUGGCUGCGCAAGUCCGUCGGGAAAUCCACUCGCCCAACGAGUGGGCGUCCGACGGAAACUGCACAGCUUGGGACCGGAAGACCCGAGGGGUACGUCCGGGGUAGGAGUGAAAUCCUGUAAUCCUGGACGGACCGUCGGUGGCGAAAGCGUCUCGGGAAGACGGAUCCGACGAUGAGGGACGAAAGCUAGGGUCUCGAACCGGAUUAGAUACCCGUGUAGUCC
rnacentral:rRNA from 1 species